UACGUAGGUGGCAAGCGUUGUCCGGAUUUACUGGGCGUAAAGAGCGCGCAGGCGGUCGUUCAAGUCGCGUGUGAAAGCCCCCGGCUCAACUGGGGAGGGUCACGCGAUACUGAUCGACUCGAAGGCAGGAGAGGGUAGUGGAAUUCCCGGUGUAGUGGUGAAAUGCGUAGAUAUCGGGAGGAACACCAGUGGCGAAGGCGACUACCUGGCCUGUUUCUUGACGCUGAGGCGCGAAGCUAGGGGAGCAACGGG
rnacentral:rRNA from 1 species